rnacentral:ncRNA from 1 species
UGGGCGGGUCGAAAAUACACAAANCCUUUUUCNUGCUANCACAAACGGCUUUGUGUAUUUUCAACCCGCCCAAAAAUGAGAAUGGAGCGAUUUACGAAGUAAAUCCGCGGAAUUCGAAUGUUUGGAGAAUUGCGAGAGCAGCAAAGCAGCGAAGCAAUUCGUAGGUUUUAUCA